rnacentral:rRNA from 1 species
UACGGAAGGCAGCAGUGGGGAAUAUUGCACAAUGGGCGAAAGCCUGAUGCAGCUAUGCCGCGUGUAUGAAGAAGGCCUUAGGGUUGUAAAGUACUUUCAUCGGGGAGGAAAAAACAAAACUAAUAAUUUUAUUUCUUGACGUUACCCGAAAAAGAAGCACCGGCUAACUCCGUGCCAGCAGCCGCGGUAAUACGGAGGGUGCUAGCGUUAAUCAGAAUUACUGGGCGUAAAGAGCACGUAGGUGGUUUUUUUAAGUCAGAUGUGAAAUCCCUGGGCUUAACCUGGAACUGCAUUUUGAAACUGAAAUACUAGAGUAUCGUAGAGGGAGGUAGAAUUCUAGGUGUAGCGGUGAAAUGCGUAGAUAUCUGGAGGAAUACCUGUGGCGAAAGCGGCCUCCUAAACGAAUACUGACACUGAGGUGCGAAAGCUUGGGGAGCAAACAGGGAUUAGAUACC